rnacentral:rRNA from 1 species
AGUGGCGGACGGGUGAGUAACGCGUAAGAAUCUAACUUCAGGACGGGGACAACAGUUGGAAACGACUGCUAAUACCCGAUAUGCCGCGAGGUGAAACCUAAUUGGCCUGAAGAAGAGCUUGCGUCUGAUUAGCUAGUUGGUGGGGUAAGAGCCUACCAAGGCGACGAUCAGUAGCUGGUCUGAGAGGAUGAGCAGCCACACUGGGACUGAGACACGGCCCAGACUCCUACGGGAGGCAGCAGUGGGGAAUUUUCCGCAAUGGGCGAAAGCCUGACGGAGCAACGCCGCGUGAGGGAGGAAGGUCUUUGGAUUGUAAACCUCUUUUCUCAAGGAAGAAGCUCUGACGGUACUUGAGGAAUCAGCCUCGGCUAACUCCGUGCCAGCAGCCGCGGUAAUACGGGGGAGGCAAGCGUUAUCCGGAAUUAUUGGGCGUAAAGCGUCCGCAGGUGGUCAGCCAAGUCUGCCGUCAAAUCAGGUUGCUUAACGACCUAAAGGCGGUGGAAACUGGCAGACUAGAGAGCAGUAGGGGUAGCAGGAAUUCCCAGUGUAGCGGUGAAAUGCGUAGAGAUUGGGAAGAACAUCGGUGGCGAAAGCGUGCUACUGGGCUGUAUCUGACACUCAGGGACGAAAGCUAGGGGAGCGAAAGGGAUUAGAUACCCCUGUAGUCCUAGCCGUAAACGAUGGAUACUAGGCGUGGCUU